CUGACCUCAAAUCAGGUAGGACUACCCGCUGAACUUAAGCAUAUCAAUAAGCGGAGGAAAAGAAACUAACAAGGAUUCCCCUAGUAACUGCGAGUGAAGCGGGAAAAGCUCAAAUUUGAAAUCUGGCGGUUCUUGGACCCGUCCGAGUUGUAAUCUAGAGAAGUGUUACCUGUGCUGGACCGUGUACAAGUCUCCUGGAAUGGAGCAUCACAGAGGGUGAGAAUCCCGUCUUUGACAUGGACUGCCUGUACGAUGUGGUGCGCUCUCGAAGAGUCGAGUUGUUUGGGAAUGCAGCUCAAAAUGGGUGGUAAAUGCCAUCUAAAGCUAAAUAUUGGCGAGAGACCGAUAGCGAACAAGUACCGUGAGGGAAAGAUGAAAAGAACUUUGGAAAGAGAGUUAAACAGUACGUGAAAUUGCUGAAAGGGAAACGCUUGAAGUCAGUCGCGUCGACUGGAAAUCAACCUAUGCUUCUGCUUGGUGUACUUUCUGGUCGACGGGUCAGCAUCAAUUUCGACCAUUGGAUAAAGUCAUUGGGAAUGUGGCAUCUCAGGAUGUGUUAUAGCCCGUUGUCGCAUACUGUGGUUGGGAUUGAGGGACUCAGCACGCCGCAAGGCCGGGUUUCGACCACGUUCGUGCUUAGGAUGCUGGCAUAAUGGCUUUAAUCGACCCGUC
rnacentral:rRNA from 1 species